UACGAAGGGGGCUAGCGUUGCUCGGAAUUACUGGGCGUAAAGGGCGCGUAGGCGGAUAUUUAAGUUGGGGGUGAAAUCCCGGGGCUCAACCUCGGAAUUGCCUUCAAAACUGGAUAUCUUGAGUUCGGGAGAGGUGAGUGGAACUCCGAGUGUAGAGGUGAAAUUCGUAGAUAUUCGGAAGAACACCAGUGGCGAAGGCGACUCACUGGCCCGAUACUGACGCUGAGGCGCGAAGGCCAGGGGAGCAAACGGG
rnacentral:rRNA from 1 species